AUGUACCUUCAUAGGUUAACCUUCUUUUAUAACUCUAACCUAGGGAAGAAUGAUGACAAGGUCCCUGAAGAAAUCCCUGAAGGAGUCCCUGAAGUUCCAGAGGAGCUCCUGACAGCCUUGGAUGAUGCCUCAUCUGAGACAGAUUCUGAGUCUGUGCUGGAGACACUUCCUAUGGAAGAAAGUGACAGCGUGCCAGGCUCAGAUGAUGAAACAGAACCAAUACGGGACACCAGCAUGCUUGCUGAGUCUGAGGAAGAUUCCGGGUCAGCUACUGUGCAAAAAGCCAAGACUGCUGGAUACUGUGACCCGAGCAAGUACUACAUCCUAGGGACAGUAACAGCCUUAGCUUUGAUUCUGCUUGGGGCAAUGUCUGGGUAUAUAGGCCUGUAUCAGCUGCUGAAGAGAGGCAUGAAGACUCGGGAAGACAAAGAAGCACCAGGAGAAGUCUACACUGACUCUUCCUGGGAAAGCCAUGGUCAGCCUGGAGGUAUAGGUGAAGCAGAGUCAGGAGAAGGAUCAGGAAGGGGCAGGAGAGCCCAAGUCAACAGGUUCAGGGACAGCUGCCACGUAUUUCCUGAGGACCACUGGAUUUCCCUGGACUCACCUCAGCCUACACCAUCCUGGUGUCCCUGCUACCAGCACCAGCAGGAAUACUUUAUAUUAGAGGAUGAUGAUUUUUUUAGUGAUAACACAUAAAGAAAUGUAUUUCCAAAACCAAUUAAGUUUUUGCCUGUUGCAGCUGUUUCUAUUGGGGUAGAAUGCACAGAGCUGGGAGCAGGGCUGGAGCUGUCUGAGAAGCUGCACUGCACCUGCAUUUGCACUGCAGUACAGGACAUGUUUGUGCCAGCCUCAGCCUGCUUUCCCAGCAAUGGCCAUCAACAAGGCUUUCCUGCACCAGAAUAGGGACAUGCUGGUGAAGCAUGAGGUCCACAAACUUCUCUAUGAGCUCAUUUGGGAUGCUGCUGUGAAACAGCAUGUUCUGGGCAGAGAGGGAAGGAUGUUCUGGGAAGGAUGGCUGAAUAGUGCUGAGCACAUCAAGGAGACUUGACAUGGUGACUUAGGUCAUGGGGGAUGUGGUAGUCCCCCCCCACAUAGCUCAGAGAGGAUCAAGGAGCAGAAAUCUGGAGCCAGACUGGGUGAGACACAGAGGGGAAGAAAUGUGGUAUUAAUCACAGGAAUGAAUGGUAUUAAAAAUUAAGUUGUUAACAUAGACAAUAAUUAUAAUAAAAAUUACAGUCUUCUCCCCCA
ensembl:lncRNA